AUUACCAAAUUUUACAAGUUACAAAAAUUUUAUAUUAUUUUAUCGGAGUGAUUACAAAAGUAUAAGUUGAAAUAUAUGCUAGCUCAAAUGACCAUCCUCGAUAAGAAGUAUAGAAGGAGUACUUAGACUUAUAAGAAGGCCGAGCCCAUCGGCACUUAACACCAUCAACAACAUCACAAAGUUAGGACCUGAAAAACAACAGGGAAUAAAACCCUGAGUAUGGAAUUACUCAGCAAGACUUACCCGACUAAAGAAAAGACUCUCAAGGGUAUGCUGGCUUAAGGGAGUCAAGGUAUGGUUUAUCAAGAAUCAAAGACUCUGUUUUGCAGAAAUGCUUACUAAUAAUGGAUCCUUAAAAAUCCAGUUUUAUUGUCAGGUUAAGUAAAAUAACCUGCAACUAGAGUUCUUUCUACCCUAGUUCAAUCACUUGACCUGCACUAGCCAAUUUCUCAACAAAAACCCUUUAUCUUUAGUGGAAUGCUACGUGUAAGUCAGUGGCCAAGUCUCCAUAACCGCGGAGGUACGGCGAUCCGAAUCGAUUAUACUCAGCUGAGGAUCUCCAAUCACACGACAUAUGUAGCACUUAACCCUUGCAUAUGUCAACCCGCCACCGGGGUUCUUAAGACCGGAUCAGGUUCACGCAAACCGAGAGCACAGCUACACCACCGUCCAGCCUCUUGCCACGGAGGGUACACGCUACUCUCGCCACCGCUCCACGCCCAUUUCGUGUUAUCUUAUUCCGGCCUUAGUCUACCCGAGGCAAGGCUUACCCAUGACGAGGCAUGUGACCAGUUAAAGGGUCCUCGGUCAGCAGGCCUACAUCGACAAGGUCCUUAAUCGACUCAGACGGAGACACUACACCGAGACUCUCUUCUCGUGCAAGUCACCCGCCCGGUCUCAGCUUAAUCAUUUAACCCAAAAACUUGGUACCUGGCAGAGGUACAUCUUUUCCGAUGUUGAAUCCAUAACGGCCAUGAUGGAUCCACCAUCAAGUUUUAUUUUCGAAAACAUCCCUCCCACUUUUGCCACAACAUUUUUUUGUAAAAACAAAACCUUUUGUUUUUCUAAAGCAAAGCUAAGCAUCAAAAAGCUUUUGUAAAACAGGCGAUUAAGGAAGGUAAUCAGAUUCAAAGAAGGUAAUGCAGGAAUGGUUUUAGCAAUCAACUCCUAUCACCUAAUGCAUCAAGCAAGUGAGAAAGAUUUUAAAAGUAUCAAGGGAGGUGGCAAAUGCACCGGGGCUUGCCUGAGUAACACUAGGUUAGUGUUGGUUAGGCGAUGAGCACUUGACGACCAUUCUUUGUCUUGGCACUUGUCAGGUCAUCCAUCCAUGCGUUCGUCCUUCAGCUUCACCAUGCGGAGUAGCCCGCGCUUGGGGUCGACUUGGCUUGUCUUCCGCAUCGCGCGAUUAAUUAUCGUACCUAAAUGAUUUGCAUAAUGCACAUGAAUGCAUAAGAACGGGAAUAUUAUAAACCUAAAUAGUGUUAUACGAUAGUGUAUUAAACACCUAGUGGCGAGGCGUUGUACAAUCUUACACGGAAACACUAGUUAUUAAUAUACGACUACGCGCUAUAAUUACGCUUCCUAAAUUAAACGAACCUAACACAAACAUUACAAACAACAAAUCAUACACUUUAAACAUAAUUAGCCUAAACACAACUCAUUAGUUACUUAAUUAAAUGCUAAAUUUAUCUCUCGCUUUAUAAAUUAUAUCACUUUGCUCACCAAAAACUAAUUUAAUUUUAUUUUGCAUCACACAUAUUUAUUUAAUCUAUCUAACAAUUCGGCUAACAACUUGCGCGCCAAUAAUAAAUUUAGCUUAGAUUUACUACUUUGAUUAACGAAUAUGAAUCCAAAUUUUUUGUCAAUUACAUGUUAAAUACCGUACUAAUAUUAAUUUACUCGAAACUAAUAACCCAAGCAAACUACCUAGAACGUAAUAACUAUUAUAACACAAGGAAUCAGCAACACGUAUGACUACCGAUUAAAUCACCGUACACGAUUCAAGUAGUCUAAUAAAUAUUAUAUUUAGUCGACUGGAAUAACAAAUCCACUUACCGUCCAUUAAAUCUGACUUAAAGCUUGCGAGAACGUCGACAGUCUUCGAAUAAAAUCUUUGAUCGAACCCUUGGCGAGCGUUAAACUGAGCUUCACUUCGACGACAACCAGAUCGAUAUCGGGACUCGACGGCAGUGCAACACCACCACGAGAUGGAGGCAAACCGGCUACGACGGCAUAGGACAGGUGCGGAGGCUGACAGCAGGGGACUUCGCGAUGGAUAGCGAGACUCGACAGCGAACGACAAGGUCGACGACGCGACGAAAUUAAGGUCGAGCGAGCUGAGAUGGCGCGCAGCGAGCAGGAAAAAGACUCGACGCGGGAGUUUGACGCGCACGCGAAGCUAUCACCAGCGACAACACGACGAUGGCGAUAUGAGAGAACGCGAAUCGGCGCGGGCCAAACACCGGACAACCAUGCCAGCGACUUGGGCGAGAUCCAAACUAGAGCAGCAGCACAC
rnacentral:lncRNA from 1 species